UUUUGCAGGGUAGGAGUGGUGGCUGCCAAGUGGUUAAGCGCACUUGUUUCCAAUGCAGAAAUGUUCCGGGUUCAAGGCAGGCCCUCCCUCCUCCACAUUCUCCAUCCACCACAGAUCUCCUGUGGCAACCUCCCGAACUCAAGUUCUGCCACCAAAACGGUCCAAGAAGAAGAAGAGGGUAGCCAACAAAAGCACCAAGUCUAUCCCCAGGAGGGCCCACGGCACGUGUCUCUCCACCUCCCCAGCACCCCUGUUUGAAGUGCCAGUUGGAAGCUUGGCUGUGAUCGGGAAAAGAAUGGUCACAGUCCAAUGUGUCAACCAUGACAGCACCACCUCCCUCCCAAAUCUCAGCCAAUGUGUAUCAGCAAUCUGGAAAAAAAAAAAAAAAA